UACGUAGGGUGCAAGCGUUGUCCGGAAUUAUUGGGCGUAAAGAGCUCGUAGGCGGUUCGUCACGUCGGCUGUGAAAACCUGAGGCUCAACCUCAGGCCUGCAGUCGAUACGGGCGGACUUGAGUACUGCAGGGGAGACUGGAAUUCCUGGUGUAGCGGUGAAAUGCGCAGAUAUCAGGAGGAACACCGGUGGCGAAGGCGGGUCUCUGGGCAGUAACUGACGCUGAGGAGCGAAAGCGUGGGGGAGCGAACAGGA
rnacentral:rRNA from 1 species